AUGCAAAUUGUAGAGAAACAGACACCAAAGGAUUUGCAUUUAAUCAAAUCUAAAGCAAGUCAUUUCAGAAGCAUCAUUACCAUGUACAGUAGCCUUUCCCAUCAGAAUCAGGCUGAUCUUCCAGGAGACUGGCUCCCUUGUCAAGGAAAAUCCACCAUUCACCUGAAAUCCUACGUUACCAUUAAGAAGGAAAUUUACCAGAAUCAUCCAGAAUGGAAAGUGGGCAGUGUCGGUUCCGCUCAGUCUCCAUUUGGCCCCAUGCCAGGCUCACCGGUGAUGUCAGGUUACUAUGGUGUCAGGAGAGCCUUCCUCUCCGACCCGGACUUUCACAACACCAAGCAGUUUGCCAACGACGCCUGCACGUCAAGCGCAGCCAAGCCCUUUGCCUGCGAGUCCUCAGCAGGGCAGGGCCACGCGGCCCUGCUGGACCCCUACUUCCCGGAGCCCUAUGGGGACCACCGCCCCACGGCCCUGACCCCCAACAGCGGCACCCUGUUCAGCGCCUCGCCCCUGCCGCCGCUCCUGCCGCCGCCCUUCCCCAGCGACCCCGCACACUUCGUGCUGAGGGACUCGUGGGAGCAGACGGUGCCUGAAGGCCUCAGCCAGCCAGACCCCGUGCCGGCCGAUGCCCUGCAGAGCUUGGCACCCAGCACCAGCUCCCUCUCCCAGCUGGAGUCAGGAGGUGUGGCCCAGCACAGGAGCGCCGGCUGGGGGGGCCCCCUCACCGGGGUUCAGUCCUACUCACUGCACGCGCUGGAGGAUCUGUACCACACGCAGGGGUACCCCACCCCGGCCCCCUACCCUUUCACCUCUUUCAUGACGAUGUCCAGUGACCCACCGCCCAAGGUGGGGCCCUUCUCCCCAGACGAGGGGGCAGACACCUCUGCCCUCCAGGACGCUUCUCCAUGGACCAAAGAUGAUGGGAACCUGGCGUGGGGGGCAUACGAGUGCCGCAGAGCCUACUGA
rnacentral:lncRNA from 1 species